rnacentral:rRNA from 1 species
UUUAGAGUUUGAUCCUGGCUCAGGACGAACGCUGGCGGCGUGCCUAAUACAUGCAAGUCGAGCGGACAGAUGGGAGCUUGCUCCCUGAUGUUAGCGGCGGACGGGUGAGUAACACGUGGGUAACCUGCCUGUAAGACUGGGAUAACUCCGGGAAACCGGGGCUAAUACCGGAUGCUUGUUUGAACCGCAUGGUUCAAACAUAAAAGGUGGCUUCGGCUACCACUUACAGAUGGACCCGCGGCGCAUUAGCUAGUUGGUGAGGUAACGGCUCACCAAGGCAACGAUGCGUAGCCGACCUGAGAGGGUGAUCGGCCACACUGGGACUGAGACACGGCCCAGACUCCUACGGGAGGCAGCAGUAGGGAAUCUUCCGCAAUGGACGAAAGUCUGACGGAGCAACGCCGCGUGAGUGAUGAAGGUUUUCGGAUCGUAAAGCUCUGUUGUUAGGGAAGAACAAGUACCGUUCGAAUAGGGCGGACCUGGACGGACCUAACCA